rnacentral:rRNA from 1 species
CGGGAGCCCCUAAUACAUGCAAGUCGAACGAACUCUGGUAUUGAUUGGUGCUUGCAUCAUGAUUUACAUUUGAGUGAGUGGCGAACUGGUGAGUAACACGUGGGAAACCUGCCCAGAAGCGGGGGAUAACACCUGGAAACAGAUGCUAAUACCGCAUAACAACUUGGACCGCAUGGUCCGAGUUUGAAAGAUGGCUUCGGCUAUCACUUUUGGAUGGUCCCGCGGCGUAUUAGCUAGAUGGUGGGGUAACGGCUCACCAUGGCAAUGAUACGUAGCCGACCUGAGAGGGUAAUCGGCCACAUUGGGACUGAGACACGGCCCAAACUCCUACGGGAGGCAGCAGUAGGGAAUCUUCCACAAUGGACGAAAGUCUGAUGGAGCAACGCCGCGUGAGUGAAGAAGGGUUUCGGCUCGUAAAACUCUGUUGUUAAAGAAGAACAUAUCUGAGAGUAACUGUUCAGGUAUUGACGGUAUUUAACCAGAAAGCCACGGCUAACUACGUGCCAGCAGCCGCGGUAAUACGUAGGUGGCAAGCGUUGUCCGGAUUUAUUGGGCGUAAAGCGAGCGCAGGCGGUUUUUUAAGUCUGAUGUGAAAGCCUUCGGCUCAACCGAAGAAGUGCAUCGGAAACUGGGAAACUUGAGUGCAGAAGAGGACAGUGGAACUCCAUGUGUAGCGGUGAAAUGCGUAGAUAUAUGGAAGAACACCAGUGGCGAAGGCGGCUGUCUGGUCUGUAACUGACGCUGAGGCUCGAAAGUAUGGGUAGCAAACAGGAUUAGAUACCCUGGUAGUCCAUACCGUAAACGAUGAAUGCUAAGUGUUGGAGGGUUUCCGCCCUUCAGUGCUGCAGCUAACGCAUUAAGCAUUCCGCCUGGGGAGUACGGCCGCAAGGCUGAAACUCAAAGGAAUUGACGGGGGCCCGCACAAGCGGUGGAGCAUGUGGUUUAAUUCGAAGCUACGCGAAGAACCUUACCAGGUCUUGACAUACUAUGCAAAUCUAAGAGAUUAGACGUUCCCUUCGGGGACAUGGAUACAGGUGGUGCAUGGUUGUCGUCAGCUCGUGUCGUGAGAUGUUGGGUUAAGUCCCGCAACGAGCGCAACCCUUAUUAUCAGUUGCCAGCAUUAAGUUGGGCACUCUGGUGAGACUGCCGGUGACAAACCGGAGGAAGGUGGGGAUGACGUCAAAUCAUCAUGCCCCUUAUGACCUGGGCUACACACGUGCUACAAUGGAUGGUACAACGAGUUGCGAACUCGCGAGAGUAAGCUAAUCUCUUAAAGCCAUUCUCAGUUCGGAUUGUAGGCUGCAACUCGCCUACAUGAAGUCGGAAUCGCUAGUAAUCGCGGAUCAGCAUGCCGCGGUGAAUACGUUCCCGGGCCUUGUACACACCGCCCGUCACACCAUGAGAGUUUGUAACACCCAAAGUCGGUGGGGUAACCUUUUAGGAACCAGCCGCAUAAACGGGGA